rnacentral:rRNA from 1 species
AACGAACGCUGGCGGCAUGCCUAACACAUGCAAGUCGAACGAUCCCUUCGGGGAUAGUGGCGCAUGGGUGCGUAACGCGUGGGAACCUGCCCUUAGGUUCGGAAUAACUCAGAGAAAUUUGAGCUAAUACCGGAUAAUGUCUUCGGACCAAAGAUUUAUCGCCUUUGGAUGGGCCCGCGUUGGAUUAGCUAGUUGGUGGGGUAAAGGCCUACCAAGGCGACGAUCCAUAGCUGGUCUGAGAGGAUGAUCAGCCACACUGGGACUGAGACACGGCCCAGACUCCUACGGGAGGCAGCAGUGGGGAAUAUUGGACAAUGGGCGAAAGCCUGAUCCAGCAAUGCCGCGUGAGUGAUGAAGGCCUUAGGGUUGUAAAGCUCUUUUACCCGGGAUGAUAAUGACAGUACCGGGAGAAUAAGCCCCGGCUAACUCCGUG